rnacentral:rRNA from 1 species
GGCGAACGCUGGCGGCGUGCCUAACACAUGCAAGUCGAACGGGGUAAAGACUUCGGUUUUUUACUUAGUGGCGAACGGGUGAGUAACGCGUGAGAAACCUGCCUCUCAGUGGGGGACAACAGUUGGAAACGACUGCUAAUACCGCAUAAUGUUUUCGGAUCGCAUGGUCUGAAAACCAAAGCUUUAUGUGCUGAGAGAUGGUCUCGCGUCUGAUUAGCUAGAUGGCGGGGUAACGGCCCACCAUGGCGACGAUCAGUAGCCGGUCUGAGAGGAUGAACGGCCACAUUGGGGACUGAGAUACGGCCCAG